rnacentral:rRNA from 1 species
GACGAACGCUGGCGGCGUGCUUAACACAUGCAAGUCGAACGGAAAGGCCCUGCCUUUGUGGGGUGCUCGAGUGGCGAACGGGUGAGUAACACGUGAGUAACCUGCCCUUUACUUUGGGAUAACUUUAGGAAACUGGGGCUAAUACCGGAUAGGAGCUCCUGCUGCAUGGUGGGGGUUGGAAAGUUUCAGCGGCUUGGGAUGGACGCGAGGCUUAUCAGCUUGAUUGUGAGGUAGUGGCUUACCAAGGCUAUGACGGGUAGCCAGACUGGGAGUGUGACCGGACCCAUUGGGAUUGAGGUGCGGCCCAUACUGCUACGGGAGGCAGAAGUGGGGGUUAGUGCGCAAUAGGCGGAAUCAGUAUGGAGAAACGCCGCGUCCGGGAGGACGGCCUUCGGAUUGUAACCCGCGUUCGCCUGGGACGAUCCCUGUGUGACGGUAAUGGGUAAAGAAGCACCGGCUAACUACGUG